rnacentral:rRNA from 1 species
CCAGCCGUAAACUAUGGGUACUAGGUGUUGGCAGUCGACCUGUCAGUGCCGUAGCAAACGCAUUAAGUAUCCCGCCUGGGGAGUACGGCCGCAAGGCUGAAACUCAAAGGAAUUGACGGGGGCCCGCACAAGCAGUGGAGCAUGUGGUUUAAUUCGAAGCAACGCGAAGAACCUUACCGGGGAUUGACAUCUUGACGAACUUGGUAGAAAUACCGGGGUGCCUUCGGGAGCGUCAAGACAGGUGG